AUGGGUUUUCGUUUACCUGGUAUUAGACGACCAUCAUUCAGUGCAAGCCAAUCAUCUAGCAAAGAAGUGGAAGUCCCAAAAGGAUAUCUUGCAGUUCAAGCUGAAGAGGAAUUUGGUUACUCUCAUCCAAUGGGUGGUCUAACCAUUCCCUGCAAGGAAGAUGUCUUCUUACAUACAGCACCUUGCUUAAAUGGUCUACAAUUAAUUCAUAUUGAAUAA